UGGGUGACCUCAUUGACUAGCUUGUGAUUCAAUCUUGACCCUUCUUUAUGUUACCACAAAGAACAAAGUUGAAUAAAACAUACGCAACUAUUAAAUUCAUUGAUUCAUUACUUUUAAAUUUCACAAGCCCUACUACUUUUCUUCUCUUCAUUCCAAACAACAAGUAAAUCUUCCAUUGGGUUCCUCUUGUGGUGAUUUCUGUACAACAAUGGAACACAAGAUUGAUGCCAUGGCAGUGAAGAUUGAGGCCUUGGAACAGAAAAUUAAUGGGUUGGUGAAUUGUGUGAAAAUGAAUGAAGAUGUGGCUGAUCUACAAGCUAGACUUGGCACUGAGUUGAACAAAUUACAUAAUCUGAGUAGUUCGGCUAUCACUCAAGCCAUAACCAUUUUAGCCACAAGACAUGAUUUGUUGAGGGUUUUCUUUGGUUUGCCUUCUCAGAUGAAGAAAUUAUAUAUUGAGAACAUUGGCGUGUCUGGAGCAAAAUUCAUAUAGCUAUAUAUAUAUAUAUAUGUUAGCUCUUCCAUGUUUGAUCCGUGUCAUUUUGUAUCGAAUGAUGAGUUAAGGUUUAUGUUAUUUAGGGUGCCGAGGAUCCAAACUAGUCCAACGGUUGAGAUUGAAUUGUUAGCAGUUGGGAUUGUCAAGAUCAUCUCGACCAAACCAAUCCAAUCCAAUCCAAUCCAAUCUAUCUAUAUAUAUAAAUAUAUAUUUUAAUUAUUGUGUUAGCUACUUCAGGAAAUCGGGUUGUUGUUGUUGUGUUCCAUUAUCAUUGUAAUAUUGACGACUUGGAAUACUACUAAAUGAUAUUUACCCUUAAAUAAAGAUAUUUUGGUCAUAUCUA